rnacentral:rRNA from 1 species
GACGAAGGGGGCUAGCGUUGUUCGGAAUUACUGGGCGUAAAGCGCGUGUAGGCGGUUGUUCAAGUCAGGUGUGAAAGCCUUGAGCUCAACUCAAGAAAUGCACUUGAUACUGGAUGACUAGAGGACCGGAGAGGAUAGUGGAAUUCCCAGUGUAGUGGUGAAAUACGUAGAGAUUGGGAAGAACACCAGUGGCGAAGGCAGCAGAUUGGGCCGGUAUUGACGCUCAGGCACGAAAGCAUGGGGAUCAAACAGG